UGCUAUCUAGAAAGACCUUUACUGCCUUAAUCUUCAUCUGAAUAUUAUAGUCAAGUGUUCUCCCCAAGGUGCUAUCUAGAAAGACCUUUACUGCCUUAAUCUUUAUCUGAAUAUUAUAGUCAGUUUUCUCCCCAAGGUGACAUCUAGAAAGACUUUUACUGCCUUAAUCUUUAUCUGAAUAUACUAGUCAGUGUUCUCCCCAAGGUGCUAUCUAGAAAGACUUUUACUGCCUUUAUCUUUAUCUGAAUGUUAUAGUCAGUGUUCUCCCCAAGGUGCUAUCUAGAAAGACUUUUACUGCCUUAAUCUUCAUCUGAAUAUUAUAGUUAGUGUUCUCCCCAAGGUGCUAUCUAGUGUUCUCCCCAAGGUGCUAUCUAGAAAGACUUUUACUGCCUUAAUCUCCAUCUGAAUAUUAUAGUUAGUGUUCUCCCCAAGGUGUUAUCUAGAAAGACCUUUACUGCCUUAAUCUUUAUCUGAAUAUUAUAGUCAGUGUUCUCCCCAAGGUGUUAUCUAGAAAUACCUUUACUGCCUUCAUCUUCAUCUAAAUAUUAUAGUCAAUGUUCUCCCCAAGGUGCUAUCUAGAAAGACCUUUACUGCCUUAAUCUCCAUCUGAAUAUUAUAGUGAGUGUUCUCUCCAAGGUGUUAUCUAGAAAGACCUUUACUUCCUUAAUCUUCAUCUGAAUAUUAUAGUCAAUGUUCUCCCCAAGGUGUUAUCUAGAAAGACCUUUACUGCCUUAAUCUUCAUCUGAAUAUUAUAGUCAGUGUUCUCCCCAAGGUGUUAUAUAGAAAGACUUUUACUGCCUUAAUCUUUAUCUGAAUAUACUAGUCAGUGUUCUCCCCAAGGUGCUAUCUAGAAAGACCUUUACUGCCUUAAUCCUUAUCUAAAUAUUAUAGUGAGUGUUCUCCCCCAAGGUGCUAUCUAGAAAGACCUUUACUGCCUUAAUCUUUAUCUGAAUAUUAUAGUCAGUGUUCUCCCCAAGGUGCUAUCUAGAAAGACCUUUACUGCCUUAAUCUUUAUCUGAAUAUUAUAAUCAGUGUUCUCCCCCAAGGUGUUAUCUAGAAAGACCUUUACUGCCUUAAUCUUUAUCUGCAUAUUAAAGUCAGUGUUCUCCCCAAGGUGUUAUCUAGAAAGACCUUUACUGCCUUAAUCUUUAUCUGAAUAUUAUAGUCAGUGUUCACCCCAAGGUGUUAUCUAGAAAGACCUUUACUGCCUUAAUCUUUAUCUGAAUAUUAUAGUCAGUGUUCUCCCCAAGGUGCUAUCUAGAAAGACUUUUACUGCCUUAAUCUUUAUCUGAAUAUUAUAGUCAGUGUUCUCCCCAAGGUGCUAUCUAGAAAGACCUGUACUGCCUUAAUCUUUAUCUGAAUAUUAUAGUCAGUGUUCUCCCCCAAGGUGUUAUCUAGAAAGACCUUUACUGCCUUAAUCUUUAUCUGAAUAUUAUAGUGAGUGUUCUCCAAAAGGUACUAUCUAGAAAGACCUUUACUGCCUUGAUCUUUAUCUGAAUAUUAUAGUCAGUGUUCUCCCCAAGGUGUUAUCUAGAAAGACCUUUACUGCCUUAAUCUUUAUCUGAAUAUUAUAGUCAGUUUUCUCCCCAAGGUGCUAUCUAGAAAGACCUUUACUGCCUUAAUCUUCUUCUGAAUAUUAUAGUCAGUGUUCUCCCCAAGGUGCUAUCUAGAAAGACUUUUACUGCCUUAAUCUUUAUCUGAAUAUUAUAGUCAGUAUUCUCCACAAGGUGACAUCUAGAAAGACCUUUACUGCCUUAAUCUUUAUCUGAAUAUUAUAGUCAGUUUUCUCCCCAAGGUGUUAUCUAGAAAGACCUUUACUGCCUUAAUCUUUAUCUGAAUAUUAUAGUCAGUUUUCUCCCCAAGGUGUUAUCUAGAAAGACCUUUACUGCCUUAAUCUUCAUCUGAAUAUUAUAGUCAGUGUUCUCCCCAAGGUGCUAUCUGAACAGAAUAAUAGAAUGUAUUAUAAAUAUGGUGCUAUAAUUUAGGAGUAACAGUGCUAUUGUAAAUCUCUGAAAUACUUGUGGAAAACACUAAUGCUCUUCACUACCUUAAUCUUAACCUGACUAAUUUUUAAAUCACUUAUUUAUUUUUUAAUGAGUCAGGUGUUGGUUGAUGGUGUGGUCCGUCCAAUUUUUUUUACCAUUCCUGUUAUUUUUUUCAAACU